rnacentral:ribozyme from 1 species
AUCUGAAUUGGUUCUGAAAAAGGGUUGGGUCCGACGCCUUUUGAAGGUUACUAAAGGCUCUCCUUCUCAACUCCUACUCAAUACGUCCACGUCGUGCAGAACGGUAACUUGUCGCCUAGAUCCAAGCUUGGGUACACGGGGAAACCCAACCCCUUGGGCG